CGCACAUUGCGCCCAUUAGUACUCUAGUGGGCAUGCCUGUUCGAGCGUCAUUUCAAACCUCAAGCAGCUGCUUGCUUGGUGUUGGGGCUUUUUCUACAGCAGCCUUUCUAGCGCUGUAGGCCCUGAAAGACAUUGGCGGGCUCGCCGCGAACCCGAGCGCAGUAAUAUUUUUCUCGCUCAGGGGCUUGUAGCAAGUUUCUAGCCAUAAAACCCUCUAUAAUUACAGAAGGUUGACCUCGGAUCAGGUAGGAAUACCCGCUGAACUUAA
rnacentral:misc_RNA from 1 species